GCCUACUCUCCAUGCCCUGCCCACCCACCAGAGUUUUCAUAGUGUGGUUGGGCUGCAUCCAUUAAGGCUGGUACUCAGGUAGGGGUGGGGCUCACCAGCCUGGUUAUUGCUGAGGAUGCUUGCAGCCCUGGUGGAAGCACCCUGGCCAGUAUUUGAAAUGUAAAUUCAAUAUCUAAAAUGGAAAUACCGGGUGCCAGGCAUCCUGGAAUUUGCCUUUUCAAGGCCACCUGUCCUAUCAUCCCCUCCAUCCCUCCAGGCUGCCAUGAUCCUCCCUCUGAACCCCAUGGUCAGUGUCGCUGCAGAGAUCCUCCCUUUGGACCCUGCCUGCCUGAAGGGCCCAUACCUUGAUCAGACGUCUUAGAACGACUGCCCUUAGCCAUGUCAUAAAAAGGAGAAAACAUCAUAUUUGACAACCCCAAUUCCUGCAUUAUACAGACAGGAAACUCAGGUGCACUUCACCACACGCUUCUCAGUUGCGUGGAUGCACAUCUCCACUUCUUUGCAGGGAGGACGAACAACAGCAGAAUACCCGUGGCCUGACUUUCUGGAGCAUCAGUAUUACUACAAGAUUUGGAAAAACCAAAGUUAGGUCAUUUCCAAGGGGUAUGGAGCUCCCAGACUUAUUAACUACACAGAGAGAGGAAGAGUCAGAACACAUUCAAUAAACUCUAGUGUGCUCAGGUGAGAUGGUAAGUGCCUGAACUCACAUCUGAAGAAGAACUUAGAGGAUGCUUUCUGACUCUGCUUCAUGCCUGACUAAGCAGUCCUGGACAUCCCCGUUAUGGCCACAGAAUAACACAGGCAGCCUUGAUGGACCAGAAGUCCUCCUAUGUCCAUCAUUUGUACAGAACAAACUGGCUUAAGACCUCUCAUUUCCUGCUGCAGUGGUAAUUUACAGAGAUACAGAACUGCCAUCUAGUGACUCAGAAGAAAACAGCAAGGUGCUUUACAUGGAAAAUGAAAUUGUAAGUUUUUAAAAAAAGAACAGUGAAGCACUAAAGUUGGUAAAGUUGACACAAAGUUGACAGAAUGUGGCACACGAAUGUUAUAGUAAAACUGGAAAAUGUGUAGGUGAAGUAACCAGUUGUUCUCUAUGCCUCUAAAAUAUGACUUGACAUU